rnacentral:lncRNA from 1 species
GCCCCCCAAAGUGCUGGGACUACAGGCGUGAGCCACCAUGUCUGGCCAGCAGCUUUACUUAUUUUAUUUUAUUUUAUUUUAUUUUAUUUUUUGAGACCGAGUCUCAUUCUGUUGCCCAGGCGAUCUGUUGCAGUGGGGCGAUCUCAGCUCACUGCAAGCUCUGCCUCCUGGGUUCACGUCAUUCUCCUGCCUCAGCCUCCCGAGUAGCUGGGACUACAGGCACCCACCACCACGCCCGGCUAAUUUUUUGUAUUUUUAGUAGGGCCAGGGUUUCACUGUGUUAGCCAGGAUGGUCUCAAUCUCCUGACCUCGUGAUCCACCUGCCUUGGCCUCCCAAAGUGCUGAGGUUACAGGCGUGAGCCACUGUGCCCGGCCAGCAGCUUUAUUUUAAAGUAGACAACCAUCCUAAGCUCGAAGUUUCUCUUGCUCAAGCACCAAUUCUGAUCCAUUUGUCUGUUUUUUCUUUCUUUCCUUCUUUUUUUUUUUUUUUUGAGACAGAGUCUCGCUCUAUUGCCCAGGCUGGAGUGCAGUGGCACAAUCUCAGCUCACUGUAAACUCCACCUUUUGGGUUCAAGCAAUUCUCCUGUUUCAGCCUCCAGAGUAGCUGGGACUACAGGCGUAUGCCAUCAUGCCCAACUAAUUUUUGUAUUUUGGUAGAGACAGGGUUUUGCCAUGUCGGCCAGGCUGGUCUCGAACUCCUCACCUCAAGUGAUCUACCCACCUCAGCCUCUCAAAGUGCUGGGAUUACAGGCGUGAGCCACCGUGCCCAGCCAUUUUUGUCUGCUAUUUGAUUCUUAAUAAUCCAACCUUGCCAAUAAACAGUUGGAAUCCUCUAACCCAGAAGAUCUAAGCAAUAUUUCCCCAACUUCCAUGACUAAUCCAGAAAGAUAUGCAAAGUCAUGAAAUGGUAUUGCCAUUAAUGUAUUCAAUAUUUAAUUUCUAACUACUUCAAAGCAUCCUCACCUGCCAUUCUCUCCAUGGCAAUACAAUUGGAGAUCAAAUCCUAUUUCCCUUAUCUGGGAUGCCAAGAGGACCGUUCCGAGUAAAUAAAAAUCAAUGCCUUUUUCUUACUUAUUUUCAGAUACCUCCAUUCUCUCCCUCUCUACCCUAGCCUCUCCUCUAACAAACUGCCCUAUCUCAGAGACCCAUCAUAAAAAAUGACUUGGCCUGUAUUAGAGAUUUUGGGGGUUGGGGAGGUAGGAAUGAUAGCUUCUGCAGAAAGAACAAUAAGAUCUGCUAAAGAAUUCCCCCAAAAAAGUGGUGACUGUAUAGUCAGAAGGGCAUGUUGGAUGGACAUUCUCUGCCUUUAGUCAGUAGCCACCCCAGAGAGUGAGCUGGUUGGGCCUGAAUAUCAUCUGCAGAGUUAACCUCCUUCCCCUUAAUGGGCGAGGUGUGGGGGAAGAGGGAUUAAAGUCAACAUAUGCACCGAGAACAUAAAUAAAAGAUAUCUAAAAUGAUACUUGGUUCCUCUAUCGUUAAAGUAAGGCUCCGAAAUCCCACACAUAACAGCUUCUUGUUAGCACCUGGUUCCCAAAGGGACUCAGAAAAAAUAAAAACAUUGCAAACAGGAAAAGAUUAUUUGACAGCAGAUAGAACAAUUUCAUCAUCACCCUUACCUAGGCUACUCCCCCUCACAUUUUCCUGUCAUCCCCAACAGCCCAGAAUAUUCUCCAAUCAUCUGGGAAGUGUUAAGUACUCAGAUCUGUGGAGAAAACAGAUCUGUGGAGAAAACCUAGCUAAGGUGGCCAGUAGCCAAGGUUAAUUUCCAAACUGAUAUUUUUGCCUAUAAAUCUCUAAUAACCAAUUCUGUUUGUUAAAUUUGGUUUGGGGAGUUAAAUUUUCAGUCUAUUUUGAGACCCAAGUGAUUCUGCUCCUCUGUAACACUGCAGCAAAUUACUUCACUAAUCAAGGUAAACAGAACCAUGUUAACUGUCAGGUUUUUUCCAAAUUAAAAAUGCAUGUUUUCCCCAUGACUGCUAAUUAAGAAAACCAUAUUCUAAACAGUCAUUCGAAUGUUUACUUGGCACAUCUCCCUCUGGUUUCUUCUAAUUUAUAACAAAGCAAGCAAGUCUAGAAUGAUGAGGGCCCAGUUUCAAAGGCAAUAACCUCUGUAACAUAACCUGUUCAUAACCUCUCUCUCUCCAUCCAUAUUCCCUUUCUUUGGGAAAAACUCCAUGCUGACAUACAAAGAAAACCCAGCAGGUAGGUGGUCAGGCGCAGUGGCUCACGCCUAUAAUCCCAGCACUUUGGGAGGUCGAGACAGGUGGAUCACCUGAGGUCAGGAGUUCAAGACCAGCCCGACUAACAUGGAGAAACCCCAUCUCUACUAAAAAUACAAAAUUAGCCAGGCAUUGUGGCGCAUGCCUGUAGUCCCAGCUACUCGGGAGGCUGAGGCAGGAGAAUCACUUGAACCCAGGAGGUAGAGGUUGCGGUGAGCCAAGAUCACGCCAUUGCACUCCAGCCUGGGCAACAAGAGUGAAACUCCGUCUCAAAAAAAAAAAGAAAAAGAAAAAGAAAACCCAGCAGUUAAACACUUUCCAAAAGUGUCUGGGCAGAGGAAGUGUAGGCAUAGUGGGAGAGAAAGGAAGAAGACAAAGUAGCCAGAAUCUUUGGUUCUUUAUGGCACUGACAGUUCUUAUUCCCUUUGUCAACACACACUGAGCACCCUAUAAGGCACAAAGCUCUGUAACAGACCCAAGCUUAAGGAAACAGAGCAAUUUACUCAUGCCAGAUCAAAAGGAAAUAAAACUAAACAACAUCAUCAGCAUUUACCUCCGACCCCCUUUUUGUUGCACAUAAGAGGAUAAGAUAUAAGCUCCACAGAAAAGCACAAUAUGUCCUAAAUGACACUUAGAAAAUUCAACAAAGUUUUAUAAAAUUAGAGUCUAGGCUGUGCGCGGGGUGGCUCACGCCUGUAAUCUCAGCAUUUUGGGAGGCCAAGGCGGGUGGAUCACCUGAGGCCAGGAGUUCCAGACCAGCCUGACCAACAUAGAGAAACCCUGUCUCUACUGAAUAUACAAAAUUAGCCGGGCGUGGUGGCGCGUGCCUGUAAUCCCAGCUACUCGGGAGGCUGAGGCAGGAGAAUAGCUUGAAACCGGGAGGUGGAAGUUGCGGUGAGUUGAGAUCACACCAUUGCACUCCAGCCUGGGCAACAAGAGCAAGACUCCGUCUCAAAAAAAAAAAAAAAAAAAAGAGAGACUGAGCUUGACAUUACAUAAAUGUUUGGAAACAAGUUUUUCUGACAAGAGACUACCCUCCUCACUGUAAUUUUAUGAAAUCCAGUCAGAGCAAAGUUUAUAUGUCAAGACCAGAGUUUCAUAGCCCCUAUAAGCCUUUUUCUGGCCACUUCCCAGCACUGUGGAAACACAGCCUGGAUUUUGGUUUUAUAUAUACUCCUCCCACAUAAACAAGUUUUCUUUCUUUUCUAUUUUUUUUUUAAUUGAGUUUCACUCUUGUUGCCCAGGUUGGAGUGCAAUGGUGCCAUCUCGGCUCAUUGCAACUGCCGCCUCCCGGGUUCAAGCGAUUCUCCUGCCUCAGCCUCCUGAGUAGCUGGGAUUACAGGCAUGUGCCACCACACCCAGCUAAUUUUGUUUUGUUUUGUUUGUUUGAGACAGAGUCUCACUCUAUCGCCCAGGCUGGAGUGCAGUGGCAUGAUCUUGGAUCACUGCAACCUCUGUCACCUGGGUUCAAGUGAUUCUACCGCCUCAGCCUCCCGAGUAGCUGGGAUUCCAGGUGCCUGCCACCUCGCCAGGUGAAUUUUUGUAUUUUUAGUAGGGUUUCACCAUCUCGGCCAGGCUGGUCUUGAACUCCUGACCUCAUGAUCCACCCACCUCAGCCUCCCAAAGUGCUGGGAUUACAGGCAUGAGCUGCCGGGUCUGGCCCUAAUUUUGUAUUUUUAGUAGAGACAGGGUUUCUCCAUGUUGGUCAGGCUGGUCUGGAACUCCUGGCCUCAGGUGAUCCGCUCGCCUCGGCUUUCCAGUUCAGUUUUUAAAAACUCUAUUUCAAUUUCCUUUUUUUUUUUUUUUGAGACAGAGUCUGGCUCUGUUGCCCAGGCUGGAGUGUAAUGGUGCGAUCUCAGCUCACUGCAACCUCCGCCUCCCGGGUUCAAGCGAUUCUCCUGCCUCAGCCUCCCAAGUAGCUGGGAUUACAGGCAGGUGCCACCACGCCCGGCUAAUUUUUUGUAUUUUUGUUUGUUUGUUUUGUUUUUUUGAGACAGAGUCUCACUGUGUCGCCAGGCUGGAGUGCAGUGGCACGAUCUUGGCUCACUGCAACCUCCACCUCCCAGGUUCAAGCAAUUCUCCUGCCUCAGCCUCCCAAGUAACUGGGACUACAGGCGUGUGCCACUAUGCCUGGGUAAUUUUUGUAUUUUUAGUAGAGACGGGGUGUCACCAUGUUGGCCAGGAUGAUCUUAAUCUCUUGACCUUGUGAUCCGCCUGCCUCUGCCUCCGAAAGUGCUGGGAUUACAGGCGUGAGCCGCUGCGCCCGGCCAAUUUUUUGUAUUUUUAGUAGAGAUGGAGUUUCACCGUGUUAGCCAGGAUGUUCUUGAUCUGACCUCGUGAUCCGCCCGCCUCGGCCUCCCAAAGUGUUGGGAUUACAGGCGUGAGCCACCACGCCUGGCCUAGUUUCCUUUUUCCUUUGAGAUACAGUCUUGCUCUGUCACUCAAGCCUGGAGAGCAGUGGUGCAACCAUGGCUCACUGCAGUUUUGACCUCCAAGGCACAAGCGAUCCUCCCACCUCAGCCUCCUGAGUAGCUGGAACCAUAGGUGCCUGUCACCAUACUUGGCUAAUUUUUAAAUUUUUUGUAGACACAGGUUUCUAUGUUGCCCAGGCGCAUCUCAAACUCCUGGACUCAAGCAAUUCUCCCAUUUCAACGUCCCAAAGUGUUGGGAUUACAGGUGUGAGCCACCACACGCAGCUUAUUUCAGUUUCUUACACAAGCAUCUGAACUAUAGACACAUAAUGGAUAAGUAUCUGUCAGACAAUCAAAAAUUUCUUCUCAGUGAUGUGGUGGCAUAUGCCUGUCCUCCCAGCUACUCAGGAGGCUGCGCCCUGGAGGCGGAGGUUGCAGUGAGCCAAGAUUGCACCACUGUACUCUAGCCUGGGUGACAGAGUCAGACCGUGUCUCAAAAAAAAAAAAAAAAAGGGAAAAUUCUCUUCAGUGAAAUUAACUUAAGGUUGGGAGUUCCUGCUCCUUUGGAAAUGGACUAUAUUCCUUUUCUCUUCCCCAAAGCUUGUCUAACUUCCCUUCCAAUUGGUUUUUCCAACAGAUACGCAUCAUAAAUCUAAGGGGCAUUUUCAGGUCACUUGAUGGUAUAAUUAUUAAAGGCAUAUAUAUUGGUGCAUAUAUAUUAG